rnacentral:snoRNA from 1 species
GUCAGAUGAUUUGAAUCUUACUCCUGACGCUCUGUGAGGACCCAACUUUUCUAUAGCAUGUUAGAGUUCUGAUGGCA